AUUUCCUGGCAAUGGACAAAGACACAGCUUGUUGGUGUUGUUGUUCUUGUAUUAGACAGGGGAAGAACAGAUGGCAGUCCUUUGUUCAUCCUAUCUUAAUACCUGGCUUGGUAGCCAAAGCUGUCUCAUGCCUUGGGCUCAUAA